UACAGAGGUCUCAAGCGUUGUUCGGAUUCAUUGGGCGUAAAGGGUGCGUAGGCGGCGCGGUAAGUCGGGUGUGAAAUCUCGGAGCUUAACUCCGAAACUGCAUUCGAUACUGCCGUGCUUGAGGACUGGAGAGGAGACUGGAAUUUACGGUGUAGCGGUGAAAUGCGUAGAUAUCGUAAGGAAGACCAGUGGCGAAGCGGGUCUCUGGACAGUUCCUGACGCUGAGGCACGAAGGUCAGGGAGCAAACGGG
rnacentral:rRNA from 1 species